GCGUGGGUAAUCUACCUUUUAGUGGGGAAUAACGUUCCGAAAGGAAUGGUAAUACCGCAUGUGAUCAUCGACUGGAAUGUUGGUGAUGAAAGCCGGGGACCGCAAGGCCUGGCGCUAAAAGAGGAGCCCGCGUCUGAUUAGUUAGUUGGUGGGGUAAUGGCCUACCAAGACAUCGAUCAGUAGCCGGCCUGAGAGGGUGAUCGGCCACACUGGAACUGAGACACGGUCCAGACUCCUACGGGAGGCAGCAGUGGGGAAUUUUGCGCAAUGGACGAAAGUCUGACGCAGCAACGCCGCGUGGGUGAUGAAGGUCUUCGGAUCGUAAAACCCUGUCGUCGGGGACGAAGGUGGGCUUGUUAAUAGCGAGUUUACUUGACGGUACCCGGAGAGGAAGCCCCGGCUAACUCUGUGCCAGCAGCCGCGGUAAUACAGAGGGGGCAAGCGUUAUUCGGAAUUAUUGGGCGUAAAGGGUGCGUAGGCGGUCUUUUAAGUAGGAUGUGUAAUCCCCGGGCUUAACCUG
rnacentral:rRNA from 1 species